GAUGAACGCUGGCGGCGUGCCUAAUACAUGCAAGUAGAACGCUGAAGGAAGGAGCUUGCUCUUUCCGGAUGAGUUGCGAACGGGUGAGUAACGCGUAGGUAACCUGCCUGGUAGCGGGGGAUAACUAUUGGAAACGAUAGCUAAUACCGCAUAACAGUAGAUGUUGCAUGAUAUCUACUUAAAAGGUGCAAUUGCACCACUACCAGAUGGACCUGCGUUGUAUUAGCUAGUUGGUGAGGUAACGGCUCACCAAGGCGACGAUACAUAGCCGACCUGAGAGGGUGAUCGGCCACACUGGGACUGAGACACGGCCCAGACUCCUACGGGAGGCAGCAGUAGGGGAUCUUCGGCAAUGGACGGAAGUCUGACCGAGCAACGCCGCGUGAGUGAAGAAGGUUUUCGGAUCGUAAAGCUCUGUUGUAAGAGAAGAACGAGUGUGAGAGUGGAAAGUUCACACUGUGACGGUAUCUUACCAGAAAGGGAGGGCUAACUACGUG
rnacentral:rRNA from 1 species